AAGUCGUAACAAGGUUUCCGUAGGUGAACCUGCGGAAGGAUCAUUAACACGUAUCCAACGUUAAACCCCCCCGUGAAUAUUAAUCGUGCUCUUGCAUCCUCCCAAUCAGCAAUCUCUGGUAAAUCACGUCGAACGGUUUGAUUCAGAGACCUCUGCGUUGUGGAUGACUGCUGACGCUAAAGGUGCAAUCGAGCGCUAGGAUCAGUGGUUUGGUUUCCCCUCAAACCACUUCAAUGAAUGACAGCGUCAUUGAAGUGUGAUGGGGAGGUCCAUGUCAGCGUAGGCCCUUCUGUCGUGGUUGGGCGUAAAAACGAACAACUGUUAACAAUGGAUAUCUUGGUUCUC
rnacentral:misc_RNA from 1 species